GGUAUGUUGGUUGUGGGCGGAGUCACGGGGUGACGGACGCGCCACCUGUAGAAAAGGCGAGCACCGGGUAAGCCGGGGCGUGGCUCCGGCGGCUCCUGCAUUGGGCCUUGAUGCUGGUCCUGUCUGCACGUGAUCCUCCAGAGCAAGACCAGAGGCAAUCCAGGGAAGACUGCUGGGAUGAAUACCUUCCAUCCUCACCCUAUGUACCAGAAAUGGGAUCGUCUGACAGUGAUUUCCUCUUGUUAAAGGCAGUUUCCAUCACUGUGCCAUAGAUGUGCAAGGCUGGGUGAGCACCAGACCGGUGUGCUGGGAUAGCCCGGAGGACGCGCUCUCUCUUGUGCUCCAGCACAGGAGGAGCCGUGGGAAGCCUGAAGAAAUCUGGGAUUAGAGCUCGGAGCAAAACUUCCUUCCCAGCAGCUUUUCCCUGCAGAAAGAGGAGGCUUUUGGCAAGAGACCCUGACGUGUGAUGCAUCAGUGCAGUGCUAAAGAAAAGGGGGAAAAGACGCUACGUUAUUCCCCCCUCCUUCCCUCUGCCUCUUCCCAGCAAAUUGGGAAUCUAUGGAAUUGUGAUCAUAUGGGGUGAAAACUAAUAAAAGGAUUAAUAAAGUGAGAUGAUAUUCUGA